rnacentral:rRNA from 1 species
AUGUCACCGAUCCUGUUUAACAUAGUGGCUGAUAUGCUGACUAUUUUAAUAGGUCGGGCAAAGGAUGCAGGACAGGUAGGUGGCCUGGUUCCACAUCUAGUAGACGGCGGGAUAUCCAUUCUUCAAUAUGCUGAUGAUACUAUCAUAUUUAUGGAGCAUGAUAUGGCGAAAGAAAGGAACAUGAAGCUGCUGCUUUGCUUAUUUGAACAAUUGUCUGGGCUUAAAAUCAACUUCCACAAGAGCGAAUUGUUUUGCUUUGGAAGAGCAAAUGAUGACCGGGACUCGUAUCAACAAUUGUCCGGAUGUGAAUUGGGUUCUUUACCAUUUACGUAUUUAGGUAUACCCAUUCAUCAUCGUAAGCUAACUAAUAUUGAGUGGAAAUGUAUUGAGGAUCGUUUUGAAAAGAAACUGAGCUGUUGGAAAGGAAAGCUCAUGUCAUAUGGAGGUCGAUUAAUUCUGAUUAAUUCGGUCCUUACUAGUAUGCCUAUGUUUCUGUUAUCCUUUUUCUUGGUUCCGGUCGGAGUUAGGAAAAGGUUAGAUUUCUAUCGAUCUCGAUUCUUUUGGCAAAUUGAUGAGCUUAAACGGAAGUAUAGACUUGCGAAGUGGGAUAUUAUCUGCAGACCUAAGGACCAAGGUGGCCUAGGUAUUGAAAAUCUGGAAAUCAAAAAUAUAUGUCUCCUUAGCAAGUGGCUUUUUAAGUUGUCAUAUGAGACGGAGGCCACUUGGGCACAGAUUUUACGCCAUAAGUAUCUCUUUGCUAAAACCUUGGCUCAGGUGACUGUCAGACCUUCCGACUCGCCCUUUUGGAAGGGUUUGAUGAGAGUUAAACAAAUCUUUUUCAACAAGACUAAAUUUAUUGUUGGGAAUGGUACCACGACGAGGUUUUGGAAGGAUACGUGGCUUGGGGAGACCCCACUAGCACUUCAAUAUCCUUCUUUGUAUAACAUAGUCCAACGUAGAGGUGCCUAUGUUGCUACUGUUUUACAAUCCGUUCCCCUCAAUAUCAACUUUAGGCAGACGCUUGUUGGAAAUCGUUGGGAGGCCUGGCUCCAUCUGGUUCGUCGUUUAAUGGAUGUCCGGUUGUCUUCUCACCCUGAUCAGCUGCAUUGGAAACUUACUAAGAACGGUGUGUUCUCGGUCAAAUCAAUGUAUCAGGAUGUCAUUAACUCUACGGUCAUCCCUACCUCCUUACAUGUUUGGCAAGUUAAGGUACCCUUACGUAUUAAAGUGUUUAUGUGGUUUGUGCAUAAACAAGUCAUUCUGACUAAGGAUAACCUUGCAAAACGUAAUUGGGUAGGUCCGUCUCGAUGUAGCUUCUGUGAUCAUUCUGAAAACAUCAAACACCUCUUUCUCGAUUGCCCGUUGGCUAAGAUUCUGUGGCGGUCGGUUCAUAUUGCUUUUAAUAUUAGUCAGCCCACAUCUAUUAGUAUGUUAUUUGGAACAUGGCUAGAUGGGGUGGAUUCUGACAUUGCAAGACACAUUCGGGUUGGCGUUUGUGCACUUUUGUGGGCAAUAUGGAAUUGCAGAAAUGACUUAGUCUUUAACCGAUCAACAAACAUUCACUUUUUGCAGGUUAUCUUCAGGGCCACGGCGUUCAUCCGUAUGUGGUCGCUACUCACUCCGACGGAGGCCAGGGAGCGUUUGGUUACUGCGUCUACCCGAUGGGAGAUGGUAGCUCGGGAUAUUUUCAACCGGUUUGGAUGGCGGUCAUGUAAUAGGAUAGACAUGUAG